rnacentral:rRNA from 1 species
AUUGAACGCUGGCGGCAGGCCUAACACAUGCAAGUCGAGCGGAUGAAGGGAGCUUGCUCCUGGAUUCAGCGGCGGACGGGUGAGUAAUGCCUAGGAAUCUGCCUGGUAGUGGGGUAUAACGUCCGGAAACGGGCGCUAAUACCGCAUACGUCCUGAGGGAGAAAGUGGGGGAUCUUCGGACCUCACGCUAUCAGAUGAGCCUAGGUCGGAUUAGCUAGUUGGUGGGGUAAAGGCCUACCAAGGCGACGAUCCGUAACUGGUCUGAGAGGAUGAUCAGUCACACUGGAACUGAGACACGGUCCAGACUCCUACGGGAGGCAGCAGUGGGGAAUAUUGGACAAUGGGCGAAAGCCUGAUCCAGCCAUGCCGCGUGUGUGAAGAAGGUCUUCGGAUUGUAAAGAACUUUAAGUUGGGAGGAAGGGCAGUAAGUUAAUACCUUGCUGUUUUGACGUUAACAACAGAAUAAGCACCGGCUAACUUCGUG